AGGGAAAUAGCUCAAGUGGUAGAGCGAUUGAAUGGUUAAUCAAUGCGUUAAAGGUUCAAAUCCUUUUUUCUCAA
rnacentral:tRNA from 2 species